rnacentral:tRNA from 2 species
GGGCGUUUAGCUCAGAGGCAGAGCAUUUACUUGACGUGUAAAGGGUCGGGGGUUCGAUUCCCUCAACGCCCA